rnacentral:rRNA from 1 species
ACGAACGCUGGCGGCGUGCCUAAUACAUGCAAGUCGAACGGUCUUUCUAUGGAAGCUUGCUCCACUGAGAAGAUAGUGGCGAACGGGUGAGUAACACGUGGGUAACCUGCCCAUAAGAGGGGGGAUAACAUCCGGAAACGGGUGCUAAUACCGCAUAGUUUUCUUGAUCGCAUGAUCGGGAAAGGAAAGACGGCCUUUGUGCUGUCGCUUAUGGAUGGACCCGCGGCGUAUUAGUUAGUUGGUGAGGUAACGGCUCACCAAGACGAUGAUACGUAGCCGACCUGAGAGGGUGAUCGGCCACAUUGGGACUGAGACACGGCCCAAACUCCUACGGGAGGCAGCAGUAGGGAAUCUUCCGCAAUGGACGAAAGUCUGACGGAGCAACGCCGCGUGAGUGAAGAAAGGUUUUCGGAUCGUAAAACUCUGUUGUCAGAGAAGAACAAGUUGGAGAGUAACUGCUCCAGCCUUGACGGUAUCUGGCCAGAAAGCCACGGCUAACUACGUGCCAGCAGCCGC